rnacentral:rRNA from 1 species
ACUCCGGUUGAUCCUGCCGGACCCCACUGCUAUCGGGAUAGGACUAAGACAUGCUAGUCGAGUGAUUCAGGCAAAACGAGUCACGGCAUACAGCUCAGUAACACGUGGCUAAUCUGCCCUUAGGACAAGAACAACCCCGGGAAACUGGGGCUAAUUCUUGAUCGGCGAAGAACACUGGAAUGUGUCUUCGCUUAAAAGAUUUCACGUUAUCCUCGUGAGGUUGCCUAAGGAUGAGGCCGCGACCGAUCAGGUUGUUGGUGAGGUAAUGGCUCACCAAGCCUUUUACCGGUGCGGGCCGUGAGAGCGGGAGCCCGGAGAUGGGCACUGAGACAAGGGCCCAGGCCCUACG